AUUGAACGCUGGCGGCAUGCUUUACACAUGCAAGUCGAACGGCAGCGCGGGCUUCUGCCUUCCGGCGAGUUGCGAACGGGUGAGUAAUUCAUCGGAACGUGCCCAGUAUUUGGGGAUAGCCCGACUAAAGCCGGAUUAAGACCGCAUACGACCUGAUUUUGAAAGCGGUGGUCCAAAAGGCCUCGCGCUAUUUGAGCUGCCGAUGUCGGAUUAGCUAGUUGGUUUGGUAAAGGCUUACCAAGGCGACGAUCCGUAGCUGCUCUGAGAGGACGACCGGCCACACUGGGACUGAGACACGGGCCAGACUCCUACGGGAGGCAGCAGUAGGGAAUCUUGGGCAAUGGGCGAAAGCCUGACGCAGCAAUGCCGCGUGAGGGAAGAAGGUCUUCGGAUCGUAAAACGCUGUUAUUAGGGAAGAAAAUAUGUGUGAUAAUCCGUGGAGGGCAUGACGGUACCGGAACAAAAAGCAACGGCUAACUACGUG
rnacentral:rRNA from 1 species